rnacentral:rRNA from 1 species
ACUCAAAUGAAUAGACGGGUCCCCGCACAAGCAGCGGAGCGUGUGGUUUAAUUCGAUGCAACGCGAAGAACCUUACCUGGGCUUGACAUCUAUUCGCAACUGUGUGAAAGCACAGCCUCCGCAAGGACGGAUAGACAGAUGUUGCAUGGCUGUCGUCAGCUCGUGUCGUGAGAUGUUGGGUUAAGUCCCUCAACGAGCGCAACCCCUAUUUCUAGUUGGACAAUCUAGAGAGACUGCCGGAAACAAACCGGAGGAAGGCGGGGAUGAUGUCAAGUCAGCAUGACUCUUACGUCCAGGGCUACACACACGCUACAAUGGAGGGUACAACGAGAAGCCACCCCGCAAGGGGGAGCAGACCUCUAAAAGCUCUCCUCAGUUCAGAUUGCACUCUGCAACCCGAGUGCAUGAAGUCGGAGUUGCUAGUAACCGCGUGACAGCAUAGCGCGGUGAAUAUGUUCCCGGGGAUUGCACACACCGCCCGU